AUUGAACGCUGGCGGCAGGCCUAACACAUGCAAGUCGAGCGGAUGACGGGAGCUUGCUCCUUGAUUCAGCGGCGGACGGGUGAGUAAUGCCUAGGAAUCUGCCUGGUCGUGGGGGACAACGUUUCGAAAGGAACGCUAAUACCGGAUACGUCGUACGGGAGAAAGCAGGGGACCUUCGGGCCUUGCGCUAUAAGAUGAGCCUAGGUCGGAUUAGCUAGUUGGUGGGGUAAUGGCUCACCAAGGCGACGAUCCGUAACUGGUCUGAGAGGAUGAUCAGUCACACUGGAACUGAGACACGGUCCAGACUCCUACGGGAGGCAGCAGUGGGGAAUAUUGGACAAUGGGCGAAAGCCUGAUCCAGCCAUGCCGCGUGUGUGAAGAAGGUCUUCGGAUUGUAAAGCACUUUAAGUUGGGAGGAAGGGCAGUAAGCUAAUACCUUGCUGUUUUGACGUUACCGACAGAAUAAGCACCGGCUAACUCUGUGCCAGCAGCCGCGGUAA
rnacentral:rRNA from 1 species